GGAGAGCCCUUGCACUUACAAUAUUGAGUGCAAGGGUUCGAGCCUCCAUAAAAGCAUUUAUGGGGGUUAUUUACAAUCCUCCUUCAAUUAUCAAAUAAUUGAGUGGAGCCAGUCUAUUCCUCACGAAAUAUGAGUGGAGUGGACAACCCUCGAAUAUUUGAGAGGGUUUAAAAGAAUUUGGGCAGCGCUUCAGAGGAGUACAUGCCACAACGAAGAUCCCAAUUGUAGAGUCUGUUUGUAAAUAUUAAUUAUAAUAUCUGAUGUAAUAUCAGUAACAAUCCUG
rnacentral:lncRNA from 1 species